CCAACGAGGUAAUCCCCAAGUUUGACGUCACACAUUUCUAUUAUGAGGGGAACUCUGACGUCAUAUGUAAUUAAAUAUAGAUGACAAUCGAUGCCUUUGGAAGUAAACGAUGGCCAUUUUUUUUUACUCUGCAAGAGAAAAAGUAUGUCGUUUGCAAAAUCGAUUCCUCCGACGUAAAUCUGCAUUGAUUUUUCUCUUUGCUGUUGGCUACAUGAACGUAACCUUCUGCGUCAAUGCACAGAAUGCGUUAGCAAUCUUAGAUACUAUGAAAUCAAACUUCAACAUGUAUAUAUAAGGAGAUUUUCUUAGUGGCCGCGAACAAUUAAAUAUUAAUGGAAGAAUUUGACGCAAAAUUUUUCUUAAAAUUUUAAUUUACAACAUUUGAAAUUGGAUUUUAUUCGAUGGGGAAUAUCAUAAACAGGUAAAGCCAACUUCUACAAACUAAGUCGAGAUGAAAGAGGCAUUUUGGAUCUCAUACACCGGGACGUUCUAUCUCUUCUUAUAAAUGUCACAGAACACCCUCAUCCAAUAUAGUAAUUAGGGAUUUGUUAGCAUUUGGAUGCAACCUUUUGCUGACAUUAAACAAAAUGUCAAAAUUACAAGUUAAGCAUACCAGACUCCGAUCAUUGCACAAUAUAUAACGGGUACUGUUGCAGAGGAUUCUAUUGUUUUAUAUUUGAAACUGAAUGCACAAUGUGUGAUCUGUGAUUUAUUCUGAUGAAUACAUUUUAACGCCAAUAAAAAGAUGGAUCACUAUUGUUCUAUUUCUUUUUUUGUUCAAGAAAAGGGAUAUAUUUUGAAAAUUAUUUGUGGGUGCACUUCGAGGAGUAUUCCUAUAGGAUGAUUACCAUUUUUGUGCAUUUUUAGUGGAAAUGCUUUACCUUCUGGAUAACAGAUUUCUAAGAUGGAUAUAAAAUGUGGAGUAAGAGAUUAUGCGUUUCGAGAAUCCUACAGUUUAUAAAAAAAAACCUGAUUCAUGCUUGUUGAUAGAAAACUGCUUUAUGCAUGAAUGGGAUCUGCAUUUCACGUUAUCAAAUAAAGAAAAAUUACAAAACUGGAUUAUAUUCUUCGUAAACAGAGGUGUUUCCUGAGUGCAUAUGUACAAGGCAGCUGCAACGGAUACUAAGCCAGAGUUCAUUUGACUUCGACCACUGAAUAAAGCAGAAGAUGGUAGUUUUUAACUUGAUGGCACCCAAUGUUUCCUGGGCAUGAUCAGAAAGGCUAUAAUGUGUUAAAUCUGGUUAUUAAAAAUGUGGUUUCUACCAUACAGAA